GUGUGUGUGCUGCUGGUCCUGAGUUCAUGUCUGUGUCUUGGAGUUAGUCUCCUGUUCCCUGUCAUUGUUUGUUAUCCGUGUGUGUUCCUCCUUGUGGUUCUUCCUUUGUCUUUGUCCUUGGUCUCUCUCCUGCAUCUGUGUUCACACCUUGGUCUGCGUGUU